rnacentral:tRNA from 1 species
AUUAUUUUGGCAGAUAAGUGCAUUAGGUUUAGAUUCUAAAUAUAUGUUAAUUACAUAAAUAAUA